rnacentral:rRNA from 1 species
GACGAACGCUGGCGGCGUGCUUAACACAUGCAAGUCGAACGGGUCUGCCCUGUUUUUUGCGGGGUGGGUCAGUGGCGAACGGGUGAGUAACACGUGAGUAACCUGCCCCUCACUUCUGGAUAACCGCUUGAAAGGGUGGCUAAUACGGGGUGUUCUGGCUGUGCCGCAUGGUGUGGCUGGGAAAGAUUCACUUUUGUGGUGUUUUGGUGGGGGAUGGGCUCGCGGCCUAUCAGCUUGUUGGUGGGGUGAUGGCCUGCCGAGGCUUUGACGGGUAGCCGGCCUGAGAGGGUGGGCGGUCACACUGGGACUGAGAUACGGCCCAGACUCCUGCGGGAGGCAGCAGUGGGGGGUAUUGCACAAUGGGCGGAAGCCUGAUGCAGCGACGUCGCGUGAGGGAUGGAGGCCUUCGGGUUGUGAACCUCUUUCGCCGGUGAAGAAGGUCCUGCUCUUUGUGGUGGGGUUGACGGUAGCCGGGUUAUGAAGCGCCGGCUAACUACGUG